GAAAUGCAUAAUACUUAAUUCAAAUGGAAAAGGGGGAAUAACUCUCAUAUGGAGUCUCCGUAAAGCUUCGGUCCAAUGAUAUCUAAUUCCUGAUGGAUUGUAACGAGCAAUUAGGUAAAAUAAUAUUCUGUUAAUGUUUUACGGUUGCGAAGGAGAAGUGGCCACAAGAAAAACAGUGUUUGGGGAGAUAACUCUUACAACGUAAAGUAUUUUGUUACGCGGUUGUAAAUUUUUAAAGCGUAUAAACUAUACAAUAUCAUAUUUCAAAUAUCUAAGCGACAUCUUAUGAAACAACAAAACUACGUAAGAAAAAAAUUUAGGCUGAAGAAGAAAAAUAAUAAUUAAAAACCAAUUGUUCAGAGAACAAUUGAAGGUCUUUUCACCA
rnacentral:lncRNA from 1 species